UACAGGGGGUGCAAACGUUGCUCGGAAUCAUUGGGCGUAAAGCGCACGUAGGCGGUUUGUUAUGUCGGAUGUGAAAGCCCUUGGCUCAACUGCGGGCUUGCAGUUGAUACGGGCAGGCUAGAGUUCGGUAGGGGAGACUGGAAUUCCUGGUGUAGCGGUGAAAUGCGCAGAUAUCAGGAGGAACACCGGUGGCGAAGGCGGGUCUCUGGGCCGAUACUGACGCUGAGGAGCGAAAGCGUGGGGAGCGAACAGG
rnacentral:rRNA from 1 species